rnacentral:ncRNA from 1 species
AUAUUAUUAUAUAAUUAAUUUAAUGUAUUUAAGUUUGGUAUAUUUAAUUAUACAUAAUAUUUAUUAAUUAAUUUGGCUUUGGUUAUUAUAUAAAUUAUUGUUAAGAUUAUAUAUGUUAGGUUUUAUUGAAAAUCGUUUUAUCUUUAUUAUUAUUAAUUAUUAUUGUUUAAUAUAGUAUAAUUGGUAAUAAUUAUUAUUAAUAUUUUAUUAAAAUAAUAAUUAAAGGUUACGCAGUAUUUAUUAUUAUACAAUGAAUGAAAGUUUGAUAUAGUUAUUAUAAAUUAUGGAUAAAUAAAUUUGUGCCAGCAUUUGCGGUUAUACAUAUAUCUUGAAUUUAUAUAAAUUAUAAUAUAAAAAAAAGUGAUGAUUAAAUAAUAUUAAUUUAUUAGAGUAGUUGAGAAUAAUAAUAAUAGGUAAAAUUUGUAAUUGUUAUUAUUAAUUUAGUUUCUCUAUAAUUUAAGCUUUGAAAAUAAGAUUAUGUAAAAACUAGGAUUAGAUACCCUAUUAUUCUUUAUUUUAAAUUUUUUUUUUUAUUUAAGUAGUGUAAAUAUAAUUUGUUAGAUUAUAUAGAAUUUGAAACUUAAAAAGCUUGGCGGUGCUAUAUAUCCAUUUAGGGGAGCUUGUUUAUUAAUUUGAUAAUCCUCAAUUAACUCUUACUUUUUUUUGAAUAUUUGACAGUUUGUAUAUUGCUGUCGUCAGUUUAUUUCGUGAGAAUUUUAAAAGACUUAGGAGUAAAAUUUGCUAAUAUGUCAAGUCAAAAUGCAGCUAAUAGGAAAGGUAAAAUAAAAUGAGCUACGAUUUAUAAUUUUAAAUUGGAUUAAAUAGUGUAAUAUAUUUUUGAAAUUGGACUUAAUAGUAAUGUAAAUAAUUAAUAUGUUUAUAUGAAUCAGGUUUUAUAGCGCGUACAUAUCGCCCGUCGCUCUUGUUGGUAAAAUAAGAUAAGUCGUAACAUAGUAGGGGUAGUGGAAACUGUUCCUGGCUAAUAAUU